rnacentral:rRNA from 1 species
UACGUAGGCAGCAAGCGUUGUUCGGAAUUACUGGGCGUAAAGAGUGUGUAGGCGGUGUUCUAAGUCUGGUGUGAAAUCUCCCGGCUCAACUGGGAGGGUGCGCUAGAAACUGGAAUGCUAGAGGAUGGGAGAGGUAAGCGGAAUUCCUGGUGUAGCGGUGAAAUGCGCAGAUAUCAGAAGGAAGACCGGUGGCGAAGGCGGUCUGCUGGGCAGUUUCUGACACUGAUGCGCGACACGUGGGGAGCAAACAGG